rnacentral:ncRNA from 1 species
GAUUUAUAAAGAAGAGGGGAGAGAGCAGGCUCAAUGAACCUCUAGCAACCACGGUUUCUGCCGAAAGGUGCUAACACCUGCCCAUUGUUUGGGACCUAUAAAUA